AUUCUGUGAGGAAUGUCAUGGAUUGGAGUGGAGCAAGAAUGGAGACAAUGGAAGACCUUGACAAUGAUCCACCUGGUGCAGCAGCAAGAGUUCCAUCCUGCACUUUUCUUCCCCUGAUAGAAGUCCAUGAAGGAAUGAAAGAGUUGGGGUGUAAAUGGAUGGAAAAGCCUGAGAGUCACAUCUGAGUUGGGAGGAAGUCUUCCAAGACUCAUCAAUCCACUCUACACAGACCAAACAGUUCAGUGGAAAACAGGAUAAGUAAUGUUAAACAAGAGCAAUUGUUAGAAUAAUGCCCUCACGUUCCAUUCUAUGCUGCUGCAAAGAGGAGAAUUUCCUUCUUUUUAAUGGAUGUUCUUAAUGCUGUUUUUGCAUGCCGUGAGGAUUCCAACUCAAGUUAUCACCAUGCAAAAAGGAUUUGUCUUACCACCCAAUCCAUUCUACCCUUCCCAUCACACUAUUACUGGACUGUUUCAUGUAUUCUACUGAUAGCAGUUAACAAUGGAAGUUACCUUGUUCAUUUAUGUGCUUACUUGCUCCUUGUCAGGCUUCAUCCUGCUAAAAUAAAA